rnacentral:pre_miRNA from 1 species
AGGAGGAACAGCCGCAGUGGCGGGGCCAGCUCUGCAGCCCUGGUGUCAGCUCCCGCAGUACCUCCGGAGCUCUCCUCUGCAGGGCCUGGAGGCUCCGGAGCGGU